rnacentral:ribozyme from 1 species
GAACGGGUGUCUCAGUGUCUCAAUGAGGGGGGUACGUAAUUUCUCAAAAGGCUCCUUUCCUCCCCCAACAAGGAAAAAGAAAGGGAAAGAGAAAAAGAAAAAGAAAAAGAAAAAAAAAGGAAACAAGAAGCAAGAAGCAAGAAAACUGGAGAAAGAGCGAAACGAAAACAAAAACGUAAACAAACCAACGAGAGACGCGUGGUUGUGGG